rnacentral:lncRNA from 1 species
GCCUUUUUGUACUAAGAAGUGGUUUUUACAACAAAACAAAAGCUUUUAUCACAUGAAAUUGAUCCCUCAUUUCAUGUGUAGUCAUUACAUUGAAGGAUUACUCUCAUUCGAGGGGUUGUUCCCAACCUUUUUGACAGAUUUCUUCAUAACGACAGUUUUCUUUUCUUGGCCAUCAUAAGUGAAAAAGUUGAGACGUAAAACUAUGCUUGAAACAC